UGCAGACAGUCAAAGACGCAAACAUACCUCAUCGCCGCUGAAGUUUAUUGUACCUCUUCUACGAACCGGUCAUAAUAUUGGACCUAAACAUAACACAUCGAUUAGCUGACGGAUUGAUGGAUAUCUCCGCCAUGCUACGUUUCAAAGGAAAAUCAUCCAAACGCUCAGCAUUACGAAGCUGCUGAUCAUGUUCUACAUAAAUCCGCUAGAUUUCAAAACACCGAAUCAUUCGAUGCCAUGAUGGCGUUUCCGAGGUGCGUUUCAGCAUAUGUUGAACAUGAACUGGAGCCGACUUGUCACGUCCACGCAGGACCCGAAUAACAAAAAGCAAUGCGGAAAACGACAUUACUCUCCUGACCGACCGAAAUUUGCUUUCGACUGGAUAUUCCACGUGCCAUCCUACUAUCGUUGUACUUCAUUCUACGACAACCAGACGAGAAAAAUCUAGGCCAAUACAACUUGAUGCUAUAGGUGUUGAGCGGGGUCAUCACAUUUGGUAGUUUAUUCGUUUUAUUGGCACUUGUGAAGGACUUUCUUGGGAAAAACUGUUUAAAUCUGAUCUACACGGUAGUCCACGCUGGAUAUUAAUCAAGACACAUUAACCUGCCCAGAAGUUGAUCUCAUCUGGUCAUCGGGCUACUGCAAAAUUACAGUUGCAAACUCGUCCGAGUUGGAUGAGUCCCAUUGCUUCACGUAUGGCUUUCCUGUGUACUAGUUUAGAUUUCGAAGUACCUUAUGUUUAUGUCACUAGAGCUGGAUGCUGCUGUAGUAGAGCACGAGUGCGAUGAAGAAAACUAAGCCGAUUGCGAGGAAGGAUAGGAUGAGGAAACUUGCAUAUGUCGAGAUUACACUGAUGAUGAAGGACAUGGUGGCACCGGUCUCGGCGGUCUUGCAAGCAUCGAGGACGAACUGCCUU